rnacentral:rRNA from 1 species
CCUACGGGCGGCAGCAGUGGGGAAUAUUGGACAAUGGGGGGAACCCUGAUCCAGCCAUGCCGCGUGUGUGAAGAAGGCCCUCGGGUUGUAAAGCACUUUCAGUGAGGAAGAACGCCUGGUGGUUAAUACCCAUCAGGAAAGACAUCACUCACAGAAGAAGCACCGGCUAACUCCGUGCCAGCAGCCGCGGUAAUACGGAGGGUGCGAGCGUUAAUCGGAAUUACUGGGCGUAAAGCGCGCGUAGGUGGCUUGAUAAGCUGGUUGUGAAAGCCCCGGGCUCAACCUGGGAACGGCAUCCGGAACUGUCAAGCUAGAGUGCAGGAGAGGAAGGUAGAAUUCCCGGUGUAGCGGUGAAAUGCGUAGAGAUCGGGAGGAAUACCAGUGGCGAAGGCGGCCUUCUGGACUGACACUGACACUGAGGUGCGAAAGCGUGGGUAGCAAACAGGAUUAGAUACCCUAGUAGUC